rnacentral:rRNA from 1 species
GAUCCUGGCUCAGGACGAACGCUGGCGGCGCGCCUAACACAUGCAAGUCGAACGGAGCUUAAAGAGCUUGCUUUUUAAGCUUAGUGGCGAACGGGUGAGUAACGCGUGAGUAACCUGCCCUGGAGUGGGGGACAACAGUUGGAAACGACUGCUAAUACCGCAUAAGCCCACGGCCCGGCAUCGGGCUGCGGGAAAAGGAUUUAUUCGCUUCAGGAUGGACUCGCGUCCAAUUAGCUAGUUGGUGAGGUAACGG